CCUACGGGUGGCAGCAGUCGAGAAUCAUUCACAAUGGGGGAAACCCUGAUGGUGCGACGCCGCGUGGGGGAAUGAAGGUCUUCGGAUUGUAAACCCCUGUCAUGUGGGAGCAAAUUAAAAAGAUAGUACCACAAGAGGAAGAGACGGCUAACUCUGUGCCAGCAGCCGCGGUAAUACAGAGGUCUCAAGCGUUGUUCGGAAUCACUGGGCGUAAGGCGUGCGUAGGCUGUUUCGUAAGUCGUGUGUGAAAGGCGCGGGCUCAACCCGCGGACGGCACAUGAUACUGCGAGACUAGAGUAAUGGAGGGGGAACCGGAAUUCUCGGUGUAGCAGUGAAAUGCGUAGAUAUCGAGAGGAACACUCGUGGCGAAGGCGGGAUCCUGGACAUUAACUGACGCUGAGGCACGAAGGCCAGGGGAGCGAAAGGGAUUAGAUACCCCAGUAGUC
rnacentral:rRNA from 1 species